rnacentral:rRNA from 1 species
AGUGAACGCUGGCGGUAGGCCUAACACAUGCAAGUCGAACGGCAGCACAGUAAGAGCUUGCUCUUACGGGUGGCGAGUGGCGGACGGGUGAGGAAUACAUCGGAAUCUACUUUUUCGUGGGGGAUAACGUAGGGAAACUUACGCUAAUACCGCAUACGACCUACGGGGGAAAGCAGGGGAUAUUCGGACCUUGCGCGAUUGAAUGAGCCGAUGUCGGAUUAGCUAGUUGGAGGGGUAAAGGCCCACCAAGGCGACGGUCGGUAGCUGGUCUGAGAGGAUGAUCAGCCACACUGGAGCUGAGACACGGUCCAGACGCCUGCGGGAGGCAGCAGUGGGGAAUAUUGGACAAUGGGCGCAAGCCUGAUCCAGCCAUACCGCGUGGGUGAAGAAGGCCUUCGGGUUGUAAAGCCCUUUUGUUGGGAAAGAAAAGCAGCAGGUUAAUACCCCGCUGUUCUGACGGUACCCAAAGAAUAAGCACCGGCUAACUUCGUG